UAGGGAAUCUUCCGCAAUGGACGCAAGUCUGACGGAGCAACGCCGCGUGAGUGAAGAAGGAUUUCGGUUCGUAAAACUCUGUUGUUAGAGAAGAACAGCGCAUAGAGUAACUGUUAUGCGUGUGACGGUAUCUAACCAGAAAGCCACGGCUAACUACGUGCCAGCAGCCGCGGUAAUACGUAGGUGGCAAGCGUUGUCCGGAUUUAUUGGGCGUAAAGCGAGCGCAGGCGGUCAAUUAAGUCUGAUGUGAAAGCCCCCGGCUCAACCGGGGAGGGUCAUUGGAAACUGGUUGACUUGAGUGCAGAAGAGGAUAGUGGAAUUCCAUGUGUAGCGGUGAAAUGCGUAGAUAUAUGGAGGAACACCAGUGGCGAAGGCGACUCUCUGGUCUGUAACUGACGCUGAGGUUCGAAAGCGUGGGUAGCAAACAGG
rnacentral:rRNA from 1 species